AGAGUUUGAUCCUGGCUCAGGAUGAACGCUAGCGAUAGGCUUAACACAUGCAAGUCGAGGGGCAGCAUGGUCUUAGCUUGCUAAGACUGAUGGCGACCGGCGCACGGGUGCGUAACGCGUAUGCAACUUGCCUCACAGAGGGGGAUAACCCGUCGAAAGACGGACUAAUACCGCGUACACUCCAGCUUGGGCAUCCAGGGUAGAGGAAAUGAAUUUCGCUGUGAGAUAGGCAUGCGUCCCAUUAGCUAGUUGGUGAGGUAACGGCUCACCAAGGCGACGAUGGGUAGGGGAACUGAGAGGUUGAACCCCCACACUGGUACUGAGACACGGACCAGACUCCUACGGGAGGCAGCAGUGAGGAAUAUUGGUCAAUGGGCGAGAGCCUGAACCAGCCAAGUCGCGUGAAGGAUGACUGUCUUAUGGAUUGUAAACUUCUUUUGUAGGGGAAUAAAGAACAGCACGUGUGCUGUAGUGAAUGUACCCUACGAAUAAGCAUCGGCUAACUCCGUGCCAGCAGCCGCGGUAAUACGGAGGAUGCGAGCGUUAUCCGGAUUUAUUGGGUUUAAAGGGUGCGUAGGCGGCCUGUUAAGUCAGCGGUGAAAUCUAGGAGCUUAACUCCUAAAUUGCCAUUGAUACUGGCGGGCUUGAGUGUAGAUGAGGUAGGCGGAAUGCGUGGUGUAGCGGUGGAAUGCAUAGAUAUCACGCAGAACUCCAAUUGCGAAGGCAGCUUACUAAGGUACAACUGACGCUGAAGCACGAAAGCGUGGGUAUCAAACAGGAUUAGAUACCCUGGUAGUCCACGCAGUAAACGAUGAUAACUGGGCGUAUGCGAUAUACAGUAUGCUCCUAAGCGAAAGCGUUAAGUUAUCCACCUGGGGAGUACGCCGGCAACGGUGAAACUCAAAGGAAUUGACGGGGGCCCG
rnacentral:rRNA from 1 species